rnacentral:lncRNA from 1 species
GAGCUUAUUAAGAAUUGGCCAAACAACAGGGAGGGAGAAUUCAAAGGAAUUACUGGAGUCAUAAGUUAUCAACUCAGUGGGGAACACUGUGAGUUUUCUUUCUAUUUCCUCUUUCCUAACAGUUUCCAAAUUAGGAAGAAGGCUUUAAGAGGAUUGCUUGUAGAGAUUGUCUGUCAAAAGAAGAGACUGGCCUCUCACUCUCUGGUUGAACAUGUACUUACAUUACUCGCAGUGCCUUUUUGAGUAGAAAGAACAGAGCGAGAUGGCAAGGUGAGGAGAAGACUAUACAAGUGGCCUUACUCCCACCAUUUGGUCUGGCAAAGAUGGCUGGGUUCUCCAUGGAUCAAAUGGACACAAAGGACAUAAUUAGCUGAACUUAACUCAACAGUGAGAGGACACUGGAAUCAAGACAUAGUGGGGUGUAUUCCUAGAGAAGAAAGUAGGGGCAUUGGAAGAGAUGAGCCAAGUGAGCCUCAAAAGUCAGGGCACGGUGCAGUGGGACAUGCAACAUCCCUGCAAAGUCUCCUAAAGAGCAAGAACCCUCAUUGUCGAACACCUGGAACACCUUCAUCUCAUGAGAGAGACAGGAUAUGGAUACCUGCCACCCAGAGGGUCAUUCCUGGCCAGGAAAGCAGAGACAGCUGACAGGCCCAUGGCUACACCCAGACACCAUACCAGAAACCUGGGAGCCAUCAUAAAUUCUUCUCCAUGUAUCCAACUCAUCACCAAGUCUUG